rnacentral:lncRNA from 1 species
UAUGGGGUCUCUGUGGGUCUGAAUGGGGCACAGUGAGGUGUCUAUGGGGCACGGAGUGGACGCUGUGGGGUCUAUGGGGCCUCUGUGGGUCUGAAUGGGGCUCGGUGGGGUUUAUGGGGUCUCUGUGGGUCUGAAUGGGGCACAGAGGGGUUGCUCUGGGGUCUAUGGGGUCUCUGUGGGUCUGAAUGGGGCUCAGUGGGGUCUAUGGGGUCUCUGUGGGUCUGAACGGGGCACAAAGGGGUCGCUGGGGGGCACAGUGGGGUCUCUGUGGGGCACCGUGGGGUCGCUGGGGGGCACAGUGGGGUCUAUGGGGUCUCUAUGGGGCACAGUGGGGUCUGUGGGGUCUGUAUAGGCCACAGAGGAGUCGCUGUGGGGCACAGUGGGAUCGCUGUGAGUUACUAUGG